UUAAGUUCAGCGGGUAGUCUCACCCGAUUUGAGGUCAAGGUUCGUGGGUCGAGUGGCAAUCACUCGGCCAUUGUCUUCUAAUGAGACGGUUAGAAGCGGGAUGCGGAUGCGAAACCCAAGACGUAGAAACAUCUUAUCACGUCAAGGAUCGGCAAAGCAGACCCCACUAAUCCAUUUAGGAGGAGCCGGCUUCGAUGUGA
rnacentral:misc_RNA from 1 species